UACAGAGGUCCCAAGCGUUGUUCGGAUUCAUUGGGCGUAAAGGGCUCGUAGGCGGUCUGUUGCGUCGGGAGUGAAAACUUACAGCUUAACUGUGAGCGUGCUUUCGAUACGGGCAGACUUGAGGCAUUCAGGGGAGAACGGAAUUCCUGGUGUAGCGGUGAAAUGCGCAGAUAUCAGGAGGAACACCGGUGGCGAAGGCGGUUCUCUGGACAGUUCCUGACGCUGAGGCACGAAGGCCAGGGGAGCAAACGGG
rnacentral:rRNA from 1 species